rnacentral:tRNA from 1 species
GGGCCCGUAGCUCAAUGGCGGAGCGCCAAGAUGGCAUCUUGGAGGUUAGGGGUUCGAGUCCCCUCGGGUCCA